AGUGAACGCCGGCGGUAGGCCUAACACAUGCAAGUCGAACGGCAGCACAGUAAGAGCUUGCUCUUACGGGUGGCGAGUGGCGGACGGGUGAGGAAUACAUCGGAAUCUACUUUUUCGUGGGGGAUAACGUAGGGAAACUUACGCUAAUACCGCAUACGACCUACGGGUGAAAGCAGCGGUACUUCGGACCUUGCGCGAUUGAUUGAGCCGAUGUCGGAUUAGCUAGUUGGCGGGGUCAAGGCCCACCAAGGCGACGAUCCGUAGCUGGUCUGUGAGGAUGAUCAGCCACACUGGAACUGAGGCACGUUCCCGACUCUGACGGGAGGCAGCAGUGGGCAAGAUUGGACAAUGGGCGCAAGCCUGAUCCAGCCAUACCGCGUGAGUGUAGAAGGCCUUGGGGUUGUAAAGCCCUUUGGUUGGGAAAGAAAAGCAGCAGGUUAAUACCCCGCUGUUCUGACGGUACCCAAAGAAUAAGCACCGGCUAACUUCGUG
rnacentral:rRNA from 1 species